rnacentral:rRNA from 1 species
UACGUAGGGUGCGAGCGUUAAUCGGAAUUACUGGGCGUAAAGGGUGCGCAGGCGGUUAUAUAAGACAGAUGUGAAAUCCCCGGGCUUAACCUGGGAAUUGCAUUUGUGACUGCACGGCUAGAGUGUGUCAGAGGGGGGUAGAAUUCCACGUGUAGCAGUGAAAUGCGUAGAUAUGUGGAGGAAUACCGAUGGCGAAGGCAGCCCCCUGGGAUAACACUGACGCUCAUGCACGAAAGCGUGGGGAGCAAACAGG